rnacentral:lncRNA from 1 species
CCCAAAUUUCUGCAACUAAUGUUUAACUGUUUACCAAUAAUUAUUGUAUUUGCAGAUUCUCUGAUCUAGUACUUCAAUAUAUUUAUGUUAUCUUAGAAAAACAAUUCAACAACCUUGUGAGUAUAAUUGAAGAAGGAGUCUUAACAAAUUCUGUUACUAUCCUUUGGAAAUUAUGGAGUCAGAGAAAUACAGGCUUGUUAUAUCACAGAGGCUCAUUAGAUGGAAGUUAGGUUCACUGUUAAAUAUUUGAGAACCAGAAAUUGACUGACACUGAUGAGAAUCUGCUAACUGAUGCUGAUCGUGGUCAUUGCACUGCUUUACACAUGCUUUGCUCUUUUUUUUUUUUUUUUUAAUCGCUGCACCCAUGGCAUAUGGAAGUUCCCACGCUAGGGGUCAAAUCAGAGCUGUUGCUGCCGGCCUACACCACAGCCACAGCAAUGGUGGGAUCCGAGCCUCCUCUGCGAUCUACACCACAGCUAAUGGCAAUGCCGAAUUCUUAACCCACUGAGCAAGGCCAGAGAGCAUACCUGAGUCCUCGUGAACACUGGUUGGGUUCAUUACCACUGAGCCACAACAGGAACUCCCAUGUUGCUUUUCUUAGCUGCCACAUAGUAAAUAUUCUCAGGAAACCCACUAUGCUUCUCAAAAUAACCAUCUCAGGACUAUAUCAGAGAUGUGUGACUCUUGUUUUCACAUAGGGUUUCUAGUCAAAACAUACGGGAACACAAAUAGAAACCUAAUCUAAGUUACCUGAGAUCUCAAAACCCCAUCAUUAAUACUAACAACAUUGUGAUGUAUACUUCCUAUCUCAUUUUCCUACACAAAUGUUAAUUUUUAUAUGAAUUAAACUAAAAGAAAAAAGAUACUACCAUAGAUUCCACGUCUUCAUAAUGGACAAAUCACUGGUAUAUGAAAUGCUAUAAAACUUGCUAGAACCAAUGCAAUUUUAGACUUUUCAUACAGACUGUUAAAUUGCUUUCUUGAAAUUUUGAACCAGUUUACACUGCCCACAAUAGCAUAUAAGAGCACCAGUUUCCAAUGUCCAUACCAACAAUGGUUAUUACUUUUCAAGCUUUGUCAGAUUCAGUGGCAUUUUAAUAUUUUUCUUUGUCUUUAUUUAACUACCAUGGUACUUGAAUGUUUCCAUGUGUUGACUGACAUUUGAAUUUCUUUGGGGAAUAAUUAGAAUUGUUGUUUCAUGCCACUUUUUUUCCUGUUUUGCAAUUAAGGUUUUUCUUACUAGUUUAUCAGCUCACUUUCACUUCCUGCUUGCUCUCUCUCUUUCUCUCUCUCCUCUUCCCCACACCACUGUGCGUGUAUCUAUUUAUAUGUGUAUCUAUAAAUAUAUCCAUAUAUAUACAUAUAUCCAUUUUCUAAAUGUUUUUUAUGUAGAGAUGUUUUGAUUCUGUAAAUAAUUAGAUCUAUCAGCCUUUUCUUUUACAAAUUUCACCUUGAUUGUUAUGCUUAGGAGAGCUUUCCCUACCCCAAGUUUUAAUAAAAGUACACAUUACUUGUAAUUGCUUUAUGAUUUUAUUUCAAAAUUUAACCUAAUUUAUUUUGUUACAAGGUGUAAGGUAGGGAUUGAAAACUUUAGUUUUUAAAAACUAUCUACUUAUUCUAAUACCAUUGUUUUAUAAACAAUAUUUUGUCUACAAAUUUAAUCACAAUUUUAUCAUACACUUCUGAUAUAAUUGUGUCUCUUUCUAAACUUUUAUUUCAUUACAUCAAUUUGUCUUCCUCCUCUGACACUAGUACCACUCACUGGGAUUUUUAUUAGAUUGCAUUAAAAUUAUAUAUUAUUUUGGAAAAAAAUUGCAGUAACCUAGUUUAAAUUUUAUUGUAGAUACCAUAAAAUACUGACAGUUUUCUAAUAGCACAGAAUAAAGAAUUUUAUUCUCAUUUCAUUUGUAUUGAAAGCCGUAAUUCUCUGAAUAAUAAGAAACUCAGCAAUAAAAACUUAAGUCCAUCUCCAAUCAACUCUAUGGAGCUUGAAGGUAUACAUUUUGUACAUCAACCACAUCCUUAACUUCACCAUUUUCCCCAUCUUUAUCUCCAUCUCCAUUGCCUAAUUUAAUUUUUUUUUUAACUUUUAGGAUUGUGUUUACAGCUGCUCACUACCUUAUUCCUGUUUUGAAAUGAUUUGGAAGUAAAACAAUUUAAUAGAUUCUCAAAGGAAUUCAUGACCAUGAAGAUUAAAAACCACUGUUCUAGACCAUUUAAAGUAACUCAUAAGUAGCCAAAACUGAAUGCAAUUUUACAUAUUUCUUGACACCAUACUUUUUCUUCUUCUUCUUUUUUUUUUUUUUAAUGGCAGGACCCACAGCAUAUGGAAGUUCCCAAGCCAGGUAUUGAAUCUGAGCCACAGCUGUGACCCAUGCCACAGCUGCAGCAAUACUGAAUCCUUUACCCAACUGUGCUUGGCCAGGGAUUGAACCCAUGCUUCUGCAGUGACCCAACCUGCUGCAGUCGAGUUUUUAAUCCACUGCACCACAGUAGGAACCUUGACACCGUGCUAUUUUUAAAAAUCCAUAUGACCUAAAUGGAACUGGCAUUGUUUGAAGAAAUAUAUGUGAAAUUAAAAUGUUAAUGUCCAGAAGGCUGAUGCUAUAAUCAAGUACCAUCCACAAAGUCUAUAGCAUAAUGCUUAUAUUUCAGGAUAACUGCAAUAAAACAUUCAACUAUAAAAAAGGAGAAGAUAAAACAACAGAGAUUGGGAUAUGGUCUAUACAUACACCCUAACCUGGUUGACAGGACUUCAUUCAUUCAUUCUUCCAUGCAUACAUACAUAAAACUUAUUGAGCCCUAAACAUGUCAGGUACUAUAGUGGGCAUCGGAUUUAUGGCAUUGAGUAAAACAGACAAAAAGCUCUGCCUCCUUGGAGUCUACAUUUUUAUGGGAGGACACAAACAAUUAAAAAGAUAAAUAAAUAGAGUAAGUAAGUUAGAUGUUGUGAAAUACACUGGAAAAUUGGGAAGUUAAUAGGAAGUGUGUAUAGAAGGGUAGAAAUGUUAGACUUGGUGGCCUAGAAAGUCUCACUGUGAAGUGAGAUUUGAGUUAAUCCUUGAUGUCCAAAAGUCCUGACUUGGAAAUAUUCCAAACAUGGAGGGGAACAGCAAGGAGGGGGUAUGGGUAGAGGAAAGUGAGGUAGGGAGGGAGAAUAAGAGGUGAUGAGGUUAAAUAGAGUGAGGGGUACCAAAGACCAUGGUAAACCAUCUACAUCUUACAGACACACUAGAGGUUACUGAACAGAGGAGUGAUUUGAUCUGACCCAUAUGUCACCUUUUUUGAUACAUUUGAAAAUUUUAAAAAGGACAGUAAAUUAAUAUGUGCUUGGAUGAUUUAAGAUUAGUCAGAAAUAGAGUGAAUGACAUAAAUUGAUGACAGUAGAAAAGAAGAAAUGGGUAGAAGAAGCAGUUUAAAUCAGAAUGCACUAGCACAAGGUGAUGUGGAUGAAGAAGGGGAUAAAUCAAGGGCAGCACCAAGGUCCUUGUGAAUUUGGGAGGAGGAGCCAACUCAGCAAGGGAGCUUUCAGGAAUGAUGGAUUUAAAGUACCAGAGGAGGAGUUCCCAUCGUGGCACAGUGGUUAACCAAUCUGACUAGGAACCAUGAGGUUGGGGGUUCGAUCCCUGGCCUUGCUCAGUGGGUUAAGGAUCUGGCGUUGCUGUGAGCUGUGGUGUAGGAUGCAGAUGCGGCUCAGAUCCCGUGUUGCUGUGGUUGUGGCAUAGGCCAGUGGCUACAGCUCUGAUUCGACCCCUAGCCUGGGAACCUCCAUGUGCCACGGGAAGCAGCCCUAGAAAAAGGCAAAAAGACAAAAAUAAAAUAAAGUACCCGAGGAAAACUGAAGUUGAAUGAAAGGGAGGAAAGUACCAGACAUAUAAACUGGGAAGUUAUUAAGGGGAAAUAGACUGAAACAAUGAGAAUGGAUGAACCAUUCCAUGAAUAGAAUUGUAAGUACGUGAAUAAAAAAUCAAAUUCUCCACUUGCUUUUUAAAAAAAAAUCAUGUGUAUACAUUUACAAGAUGAAAAUGAACACUGGAGUUCCUGCUGUGACACAGUGGGUUAAGAAUCUGACUGUGGCAGCUUGGGUCUCUGUGGAAGUGGAGUACGUGAAUAAAAAAUCAAAUUCUCCACUUGCUUUUAAAAAAAAAAAUCAUGUGUAUACAUUUACAAGAUGAAAAUGAACACUGGAGUUCCUGCUGUGACACAGUGGGUUAAGAAUCUGACUGUGGAAGCUUGGGUCUAUGUGGAAGUGGAGGUUUGAUCCGCAUCCCAGCUGUGGUAUAGAUCACAGCUGCAAGUUCGAUUCAGUCCCUGGCUGGGGAACUUCCAUAUGUCACAGGCACAGCCAUUAAAAGAAAGAGAAAGAAAGAAAAGAAGGAAGGGAGGGAGGGAGGAAGGAAGGAAGGAAGGAAGGAAGGAAGGAAGG